rnacentral:lncRNA from 1 species
CCAAAAAAAAUGUAACAUACAAAUUUUCAACAUUUUUUUUUUAAAAAUAGUAAGCAUUUUUUUACAUUUUUUUUCAUAAAUAGGUCCGUGUACAUUUAUAUUACAUUCCCUAUUUUUUUUAGAAAAAAAUAAAAAUGUUACAUAGGGUUUAUUUGGGUUUUCUCAACUCACAUGGGUUUUCGAUUUAUCUUUCCCCAUAUAUAUAUAUAUAUAUAUAUAUAACUUUCUACUUUUUAUUAAUAAAUUUACAAGUUUAGGGAUAACUUUAUACUUUUUAUUAGUAAAUUUAAAAGUUAGGAACCAUAUGUAAACUAGUGAAAGAUAGAGGGGAUUAAAUGUUAAAAUACCUAAACUUAAAUGUUAAAAUAGGCUAUAAUUAAAUUUUGGGCUUUAAACAAUGGGCUAGGCUUCAAAAUUUGGGUUUAUUGGGUCAAAAACCAUGAGACCGAUUAGUCCGAUUUUCUUCGACUUUGACCGAUUUUCACCGAAUUUGACCGAUUUUGACCAUAACCGAUUUUUUUGACCGACUAGCAUAAAUUUAGGCAGUAACCCACCGACUAGCGCCUAGGCGCUGGCCGAUUUCUGCAACAUUGAUAAUAAAUAAUAUUUGAAAAUUCUUAGGUGUUUGUUUAUUAUAUUUGGCUUUUAAUUUUUUCUACAUUUUUUUUAUUUUUAAUAGUAUUUUAUCUAUUAUUUAUUGGAUUUUUCAAUGAUAAAUAGUAAUUAUAAUUCUCAGGCCAAGUCUGUACCACAUGUCAUAGUCUGGCUCAUGCCACUUGGUGACAGAUGA